rnacentral:lncRNA from 1 species
UUCCCCAGUAAGGUUGUCUUGUUACUCCUCAGCGAGUAUUAUCCCCAAAGAGUUGCCUGAUUUAUCUUCCCCCAGCGGAGUGUUGAUUGCUUCCCAAGCGGAGUCACCGAGUGGAUUGGGUCCUGUGUAGGAUAUUCCCAGCAACGGUCGUGUUUCUCCAGCAUGAGUGAGAAGUCGUUGCUUUCUCCGCAAAGCAUUCCCGGAUGAGGCUCUCCCCGCAGAGUAUUCUUCAAGCAGAGUCUCCACGCAGAGUUGGAGUUUUUGAUCAGUUUGGC